rnacentral:rRNA from 1 species
GUAACACGUAGUCAACCUGCCCUGGAGACCCGAACAACCCCGGGAAACUGGGAUUAAUGCGGGAUAGGUCAUCUCAUCUGGAAGGAGAGAUGGCUCAAAGGGGUGCGCGGGCUUCUUCCGUGUACUUGUUCCAGGAUGGGACUGCGACCGAUCAGGCUGUUGGCGAGGUAAUGGCUCACCAAACCAGUAACCGGUACGGGCCUUGAGAGAGGGGGCCCGGAGAUGGACACUGAGAGAAGGGUCCAGGUCCUACGGGGCGCAGCAGGCGCGAAACCUUCGCAAUGCGCGAAAGCGUGACGAGGUUAAUCCGAGUGGUCCCCGCUGAGGGGAUCUUUUGUCGGCUGUAAAAAGGCCGGUGAAUAAGGGGAGGGCAAGUCUGGUGUCAGCCGCCGCGGUAAUACCAGCUCCUCGAGUGGUCGGGGCGAUUAUUGGGCCUAAAGCAUCCGUAGCCGGUUCCGUAGGUCUUCUGUCAAAUCCAACGGCUCAACCGUUGGCCCGCAGAAGAUACCGCGGGACU